rfam:Ictidomys tridecemlineatus contig014993, whole genome shotgun sequence.
UGGGCUGUGGCUCAGUGGCAGAGCAGUUGCCUGGCAUGUGUGAGGCACUGGGUUCGAUUCUCAGCACCACAU